rnacentral:rRNA from 1 species
UACGUAGGGGGCAAGCGUUGUUCGGAAUUACUGGGCGUAAAGGGCGCGUAGGCGGCACAGCAAGUCGGGAGUGAAAGCCCGGGGGCUCAACCCCCGGAACUGCUUUCGAAACUGCUGAGCUAGAGUACAGAAGGGGCAACCGGAAUUCCCAGUGUAGCGGUGAAAUGCGUAGAUAUUGGGAAGAACACCUGAGGCGAAGGCGGGUUGCUGGGCUGAUACUGACGCUGAGGCGCGAAAGCCAGGGGAGCAAACGGG